GAUGAACGCUGGCGGCGUGCCUAAUACAUGCAAGUCGAGCGAACGGACGAGAAGAUUGCUUUUCUGAUGUUAGCGGCGGACGGGUGAGUAACACGUGGAUAACCUACCUAUAAGACUGGGAUAACUUCGGGAAACCGGAGCUAAUACCGGAUAAUAUUUUGAACCGCAUGGUUCAAAAGUGAAAGACGGUCUUGCUGUCACUUAUAGAUGGAUCCGCGCUGCAUUAGCUAGUUGGUAAGGUAACGGCUUACCAAGGCAACGAUGCAUAGCCGACCUGAGAGGGUGAUCGGCCACACUGGAACUGAGACACGGUCCAGACUCCUACGGGAGGCAGCAGUAGGGAAUCUUCCGCAAUGGGCGAAAGCCUGACGGAGCAACGCCGCGUGAGUGAUGAAGGUCUUCGGAUCGUAAAACUCUGUUAUUAGGGAAGAACAUAUGUGUAAUUAACUGUGCACAUCUUGACGGUACCUAAUCAGAAAGCCACGGCUAACUACGUG
rnacentral:rRNA from 1 species